rnacentral:tRNA from 1 species
ACACCUUUAGCUUAAUUAGGUAAAGCGUUUACCUUCGAAGUAAUUGUUUAUUGGUUCAAUUCCGAUAAGGUGUC